rnacentral:rRNA from 1 species
GACGAAAAAAGGUCUUUCUAGACCCCUUGACGGUACCAUAUGAAUAAGCACCGGCUAACUCCGUGCCAGCAGCCGCGGUAAUACGGAGGGUGCAAGCGUUAUCCGGAUUCACUGGGUUUAAAGGGUGCGUAGGCGGGUAGGUAAGUCAGUGGUGAAAUCCUGGAGCUCAACUCCAGAACUGCCAUUGAUACUAUCUAUCUUGAAUAUUGUGGAGGUAAGCGGAAUAUGUCAUGUAGCGGUGAAAUGCUUAGAUAUGACAUAGAACACCCAUUGCGAAGGCAGCUUACUACGCAUAUAUUGACGCUGAGGCACGAAAGCGUGGGGAUCAAACAGGAUUAGAUACCCUGGUAGUCCACGCCCUAAACUAUGGAUACUCGACAUAUGCGAUACACUGUAUGUGUCUGAGCGAAAGCAUUAAGUAUCCCACCUGGGAAGUACGUUCGCAAGAAUGAAACUCAAAGGGAAUUGACGGA